GAUGAAGAACGUAGCGAAAUGCGAUAAGUAGUGUGAAUUGCAGAAUUCAGUGAAUCAUCGAAUCUUUGAACGCACAUUGCGCCCUUUGGUAUUCCAAAGGGCAUGCCUGUUCGAGCGUCAUUUGUAACCUCAAGCUUUGCUUGGUGUUGGGCGUCUUGUCUCCAGUUCGCUGGAGACUCGCCUUAAAGUAAUUGGCAGCCGGCCUACUGGUUUCGGAGCGCAGCACAAGUCGCGCUCUCUUCCAGCCAAGGUCAGCAUCCACAAAGCCUUUUUUCAACUUUUGACCUCGGAUCAGGUAGGGAUACCCGCUGAACUUAAGCAUAUCAAUAAGCGGAGGA
rnacentral:misc_RNA from 1 species